CUGGAGCCUGGCGGACCCAGUGCAUAGCAUAGCUACUGAAGGUGAAUCCAGAGGCUGCACAGGAGAGUCUCAGGGACCCCCCAGGCUGUACCAAGCCUCCCCCAGACUCCACCAGCUGCACCUCACACUGGACACCUCCA